UCUAGUAAAUGCCUGGGUAAAUCGUGCCGCUUAACGGUACGAAUUCCGGGUAGACUGCUAGACUUGAGAUCGGGAGAGGUUAGAGGUACUCCUUGGGUAGAGGUGAAAUUCUGUAAUCCUAGGGGGACCACCUGUGGCGAAAGCGUCUAAACCAGAACGAGUCUGACGGUGAGGGACGAAGCCCUGGGUCACAAACCGGAUUAGAUACCCGGGUAGUCCAGGGUGUAAACGCUGCUUGCUUGAUGUUAGUUGGGCUACGAGCCCAACUAGUGUCGGAGAGAAGUUGUUAAGCAAGCUGCCUGGGAAAUACGGUCGCAAGGCUGAAACUUAAAGGAAUUGGCGGGGGAGCACAGCAACGGGUGGAGCGUGCGGUUUAAUUGGAUUCAACGCCGGAAAGCUCACCGGAGGCGACGGUUACAUGAGGGCCAGGCUGAUGACCUUGCCUAAUUUUCCGAGAAGUGGUGCAUGGCCGCCGUCAGUUCGUACCGUAAGGCGUUCUGUUAAGUCAGACAACGAACGAGACCCUCACCAUUAGUUGCAAUUUAUUCCCCAGGGAAUGGAGCACUCUAAUGGGACCGCUGGCGCUAAGUCAGAGGAAGGCGAGGGCAACGGUAGGUCAGUAUGCCCUGAAUCCUUCGGGCUACACGCGCGCUACAAAGGCUAGGACAAUGGGCUUCGACACCGAAAGGUGAAGGCAAUCCUGAAACCUAGUCGUAGUUCGGAUUGAGGAUUGAAACUCAUCCUCAUGAAGCUGGAAUCCGUAGUAAUCGCGGGUCAACAUCCCGCGGUGAAUAUGCCCCUGCUCCUUGCACACACCGCCCGUCAAACCAUGCGAGUUGGGUUUAAGUGAGGAUGUAGUAUUUUGCUGCGUUCAAACUUAGGCUUAGCAAGCGGGGUUAAGUCGUAACAAGGUAAC
rnacentral:rRNA from 1 species